AGGGAGAGGAUAGAUGGAGAGGAGAUGAUAGAGGGAGAGGAUAGAGGGAUAGAGGGAUAGGAGAUGAUAGAGUGAUAGGAGAUAGAGGGAGAGGAUAUAGGGAUUGACGGAUAGGAGAUGAUAGAGGGAUAGGAGAGGAUAGAGGGAGAGGAUAGAGGGAUAGAGGGAUAGGAGAUGAUAGAGGGAGAGGAUAGAGGGAUAGGAGAUGAUAGAGGGAGAGGAUAGGAGAUGAUAGAGGGAUAGGAGAUGAUAGAGGGAGAGGAUAGAGGGAUAGAGGGAUAGGAGAUGAUAGAGGGAGAGGAUAGAGGGAUAGGAGAUGAUAGAGGGAGAGGAUAGGAGAUGAUAGAGGGAGAGGAGAUGAUAGAGGGAUAUGAGAGGAUAGAGGGAGAGAAUAGUGGGGUAGGAGAUGAUAGAGGGAUAGGAGAUGACAGAGGGAGAGGAUUUAGGGAGAGGAGAUUGUAGAGGGAGAGGAUAGAGGGAUAGGAGAUGAUAGAGGGAGAGAAUAGUGGGAUGUGAGACAUGGACAAGGACAAUGUCAGGGACAGAAACACGUGGAUCAGUUGAAAGAAAUGUCUCAAACUAGACUGCUACCAAGGGACCAUCGUAAAAAUCUUCACCUCUCCUCUCUACCGCUCUUCACCUCUCCUUCUCCCCCUCUCUCUCCUUUCCUCCCCCGAUCCAUCUCCUAUCUUCCUUUGCCCCUGCUGUGGGGUAAUGUUUUGCUAAAUGUUUUAGUAUGAGUAUGGGGGACUGUGAGAACCCUAAAAUCACCCCUCUUCUCCUGGAUGUGUUCCCAGUGCUUUGAAAGAGGUCAAAGGUCAUACCUAACUGAUCCCGGACUAUGGUAGAAACCAGAAAAAAAGUAUGGUAGACACCAGGAGCCAGGAAGGGUAGACACCAGGAGUCAGGUAUGAUGACACCAGAAGCCAGGUAUGAUGAAACCAGAAGCCAGGUAUGAUGACACCAGGAGCCAGGAAGGGUAAAAAAUAAGGGGCCAGGAAGGGUAGACACCAGGAGCCAGGAAGGGUAGACACCAGGAGUCAGGAAGGAUAGACACCAGGAGCCAGGAAGGGUGGACACCAGGAGCCAGGUAGGGUAGACACCAGGAGCCAGGUAGGGUAGACACCAGGAUCCAGGUAGGGUAGACACCAGAAGCCAGGUAUGGUAGACACCAGAAGCCAGGUAUGGUAGACACCAGAAGACAGGUAGACACCAGAAGACAGGUAUGGUAGACACCAGAAGACAGGUAUGGUAGACACCAGAAGACAGGUAGACACCAGAAGACAGGUAUGGUAGACACCAGAAGACAGGUAUGGUAUACACCAAAAGACAGAUAUGGUAGACACCAGAAGACAGGAAUUGUAGACACCAGAAGACAGGUAUUGUAGACACCAGAAGCCAGGUAUGGUAGACACCAGAAGCCAGGUAUGGUAGACACCAGAAGACAGGUAGACACCAGAAGACAGGUAUGGUAGACACCAGAAGAGAGGUAUGGUAUACACCAAAAGACAGGUAGACACCAGAAGACAGGAAUGGUAGACACCAGAAGACAGGUAUUGUAGAUGGAGGCCUGAUCUAAUGAAAUGUCAUGGAGGCCUGAUCUAUAGAACUGACAUGGAGGCCCGAUCUAAUGAACUGACAUGGAGGCCUGAUCUAUAGAACUGACAUGGAGGCCUGAUCUAAUGAACUGACAUGGAGGCCUGAUCUAAUGAACUGACAUGGAGGCCUGAUCUAUAGAACUGACAUGGAGGCCUGAUCUAAUGAACUGACAUGGAGGCCUGAUCUAUAGAACUGACAUGGAGGCCUGAUCUAAUGAACUGACAUGGAGGCCUGAUCUAUAGAACUGACAUGGAGGCCUGAUCUAUAGAACUGACAUGGAGGCCUGAUCUAUAGAACUGACAUGGAGGCCCGAUCUAUAGAACUGACAUGGAGGCCUGAUCUAUAGAACUGACAUGGAGGCCUGCUCUAAUGUGCUGACAUGGAGGCCUGAUCUAAUGAACUGAUAUGGAGGCCUGAUCUAAUGAACUGACAUGGAGGCCUGAUCUAAUGAACUGUCAUGGAGGCCUGAUCUAAUGAACUGACAUGGAGGCCUGAUCUAAUGAACUGACAUGGAGGCCUGAUCUAUAGAACUGACAUGGAGGCCUGAUCUAAUGAACUGACAUGGAGGCCUGAUCUAAUGAACUGACAUGGAGGCAGAGACCUUUUCUUUUCAGAACUUCCCUCCAUUGAUCUGCCCCGUUGGCAGUGUAGUCUGGUACGUUGCCUCCCCUGCGCCGAGGUGGCGCCGUCGCCCACAAAAUCAAACAUGGCUGCCAGUGCUUGGUGUUGUCACUCUCAGUGGCAUUGAGCGGGUGCCAGCGGCGGGCAUUCCUUCACCGGAGUUAGCAUUCAGUCUGCAUAGGGCAAGUCAAGCAGGCUUUAGUGUCCCACCCAACCAGAGUCACCACUCUGUGGUGGGGGAUACAAAUGUGGCGAGUCAAUGAAAGUCUCUCUCUCUCACACACACACACACACACACUCAGACAGUCAGACACACACACACACACACUCUCACACACACACACACACACACACACAAUCACUUAGUUAGAAAGUACCAUUCAGGGACACAUCUAGUGAGUUAGACAGGGGCUUUCAAAGAAAUACAUUUAGAAAGAGUCACAUGGUUGCACAUCCACAGAAUGGAGGAACGUGCCCUCAUUCCCCAAUGGCAUGCCAACUUCUCUAUUAGUGUCUGAGCUUUUCCAUGUGAUUUGUGUUCACCAGAAUUAAAUGACAUCAUGUUCAUCACCAUCCGAUGACAUCAUGUUCACCACUAUCCGAUGACAUCAUGUUCACCACCAUCCGAUGACAUCAUGUUCACCACUAUCCGAUGACAUCAUGUUCACCACUAUCCGAUGACAUCAUGUUCACCACUAUCCGAUGACAUCAUGUUCACCACUAUCCGAUGACAUCAUGUUCACCACUAUCCGAUGACAUCAUGUUCACCACUAUCCGAUGACAUCAUGUUCACCACUAUCCGAUGACAUCAUGGUCAUUACCAUCCGAUGACAUCAUGUUCACCACUAUCCGAUGACAUCAUGUUCACCACUAUCCGAUGACAUCAUGGUCAUUACCAUCCGAUGACAUCAUGUUCACCACUAUCCGAUGACAUCAUGUUCACCACUAUCCGAUGACAUCAUGUUCACCACCAUCCGAUGACAUCAUGUUCACCACUAUCCGAUGAUAUCAUGUUCACCACUAUCCGAUGACGUCGUGUUCACCAUUAUCCGAUGACGUCGUGUUCACCAUUAUUCGAUGACGUCAUACCGACAUUAUAAGAUUGCAACUGUAAAAAAGUCAAACACCUGAGCUGAUGCACACCCCAAAAUGUGAUGCGGACUAACGGACAAUAAACUGCUGAAAAAAGAAAGAAAGCAACCACGAUGCGUUGGUUAUUAAGUUCAUCAAUUGGUUAUGAAGCAUGAACACGACCUUGUGCCGUUUCAGUGAGCUGUCAUUACAUGGAGAGUCAUCCAAUGUUUAAAAUGAAAUAUCGUUGGACUGUUCAUCCUAACAUUCACUAAAACAUUGUGCACAUGUUCUAAUAGCACAAAACUCUCCAUUUGUGGUGAUGAUUAUAGAAUAUUUAUAUAAAACCAUUUGCCCGAUGUUGCAAAUACAUUCCUGUAAUAUGUUUAAUCUGUUCUUUGAAAGUUCCCAGAAUGUUUCUUUAGUUGGGUUAACAUUGUGGGGUCAAGAAAGGAGAUAUAUAUUCACAAAACACAAAAUCUGUCCAGGUGUGUAGACAUUCAGAUAAUAUUUGUAUUAGGGUGAACAGAACGUUCCUUUGAUUCCUUACUCCCCUACUCCACCACUACCACAUAUCUACAACACACUGUGUGUCCUCAGGCCCCUCCUCCACCACUACCACAUAUCUACAACACACUGUGUGUCCUCAGGCCCCUCCUCCACUACUACCACAUAUCUACAACACACUGUGUGCCCUCAGGCCCCUCCUCCACUACUACCACAUAUCUACAACACACUGUGUGUCCUCAGGCCCCUCCUCCACCACUACCACAUAUCUACAACACACUGUGUGCCCUCAGGCCCCUCCUCCACCACUACCACAUAUCUACAACACACUGUGUGCUCUCAGGCCCCUCCUCCACCUAGAAAGCAGCAUGGAAUACAUCCCCAUUAUGUGAUAUAGUCGUUUUGAGCGAUUAAACAAAAUGUGGUUUAUUAUUAUUAUUAUUUUUUUUAUUAAUUAAAGAACUAACGGAUCAACAUCGGUUUAAUUAUUUAAAUUCCAUUUCGUUCUGUUUUUUUCCUCCUGUGAUCUCAAUGUGCACAUUGCACGGUUUCUUUAAAGAUGAAGCAGAUCAAGCCCGAACUGAGAGAUGUAGUAAGGAGUUGCAGUUUCCAACAGGCCAAAAUUCUACAUAGUUUAUCAGAUGUAGUAGGGAGUUGUAGUUUCCAACAGGCCAGCAUUCUACAUAGUUUAUCAGAU
ensembl:lncRNA